CCCUAAUGAAGAUUAGCAUGGCUCCUGCACAAGAAUGAUGUGCAAAUUUAUGAAGAGUUCCAUAUUAUU
ensembl:snRNA U6 U6 spliceosomal RNA